rnacentral:rRNA from 1 species
CCCAGAUCGUUUACCGUGAAAAAAUUAGAGUGUUCAAAGCAGGCAGAUUUAACCAUUCUGCCACCGAAUACAUUAGCAUGGGAUAAUGGAAUAGGACCCUGUCCUCCUAUUUACGUGUUGGUUUUUGAGGACCAGGGUAAUGAUUAAAAGGGAUAGUUGGGGGCAUUAAUAUUUAAUUGUCAGAGGUGAAAUUCUUGGAUUUAUGAAAGAUUAACUUCUGCGAAAGCAUCUGCCAAGGAUGUUUUCAUUAAUCAAGAACGAAAGUUAGGGGAUCGAAGACGAUCAGAUACCGUCGUAGUCUUAACCAUAAACGAUGCCGACCAGCGAUUAGGAGACGUUGAAUACAAAACACCACCAUUAACACGAUCGUUUUUUGCAAAUAUUGCCACAUACGCAAGUGUGUGGUUGUGUUUGAAGGAACGAUUUGUCUUAAUGGCCCGGUGAAUGACUCCCCUAGCAGCUUGUGAGAA